rnacentral:misc_RNA from 1 species
UUCAACCCUCAAGCGCAGCUUGGUAUUGAGCCCAUGUCAGCGAUGGCAGGCUCCAAAGUCACGGCGGCGCCGCUGGGCCCUGAACGUAGUAAUAUCUCUCGUUACAGGCGCUCGGCGUGCUUCUGCCAAAACCCCAACUUUCU